AUUGAACGCUGGCGGCAGGCCUAACACAUGCAAGUCGAGCGGAUGAAGGGAGCUUGCUCCUGGAUUCAGUGGCGGAGGGGUGAGUAAUGCCUAGGAAUCUGCCUGGUAGUGGGGGAUAACGUCCGGAAACGGGCGCUAAUACCGCAUACGUCCUGAGGGAGAAAGUGGGGGAUCUUCGGACCUCACGCUCUCAGAUGAGCCUAGGUCGGAUUAGCUAGUUGGUGGGGUAAAGGCCUACCAAGGCGACGAUCCGUAGCUGGUCUGAGAGGAUGAUCAGUCACACUGGAACUGAGACACGGUCCAGACUCCUACGGGAGGCAGCAGUGGGGAAUAUUGGACAAUGGGCGAAAGCCUGAUCCAGCCAUGCCGCGUGUGUGAAGAAGGUCUUCGGAUUGUAAAGCACUUUUAGUUGGGAGGAAGGGCAGUAAGUUAAUACCUUGCUGUUUUGACGUUACCAACAGAAUAAGCACCGGCUAACUUCGUG
rnacentral:rRNA from 1 species